rnacentral:rRNA from 1 species
GGUAGGACUACCCGCUGAACUUAAGCA